rnacentral:rRNA from 1 species
CCAGACUCCUACGGGAGGCAGCAGUGAGGAAUAUUGGUCAAUGGGCGGGAGCCUGAACCAGCCAAGCCGCGUGAAGGAAGAAGGCGCCAGGCGUCGUAAACUUCUUUUGUCGGGGAACAAAGGGCGCCACGCGUGGCGUUGUGAGUGUACCCGAAGAAAAAGCAUCGGCUAACUCCGUGCCAGCAGCCGCGGUAAUACGUAGGGGGCGAGCGUUAUCCGGAAUUACUGGGUGUAAAGGGAGCGUAGACGGCGAGGUAAGCCUGAAGUGGAAGCCCGCGGCCCAACCGCGGAACUGCUUUGGGAACUGUUUUGCUGGAGUAUGGGAGGGGUAAGCGGAAUUCCUGGUGUAGCGGUGAAAUGCGUAGAUAUCAGGAGGAACACCGGUGGCGAAGGCGGCUUACUGGACCAUAACUGACGUUGAGGCUCGAAAGCGUGGGGAGCGAACAGGAUUAGAUACCCGCGUA